rnacentral:rRNA from 1 species
AACGAACGCUGGCGGCAUGCCUAACACAUGCAAGUCGAACGAGACCUUCGGGUCUAUUGGCGCACGGGUUCGUAACGCGUGGGAACCUGCCCUUAGGUUCGGAAUAACUCCCCGAAAGGGGUGCUAAUACCGGAUAAUGUCUUCGACCCAAUGAUUUAUCGCCCUUGGAUGGGCACUCGUUGGAUUAGCUAGUUGGUUGGGUAAAAGCCUACCAAGCCGCCGAUCCAUAGCUGGUCUGGGAGGAGGAUCAGCCACACUGGGACUGAGACACGGCCAAGACUCCUACGGGGGGCAGCAGUGGGGAAUAUUGGACAAUGGGCGAAAGCCUGAUCCAGCAAUGCCGCGUGAGUGAUGAAGGCCUUAGGGUUGUAAAGCUCUUUUACCCGGGAUGAUAAUGACAGUACCGGGAGAAUAAGCUCCGGCUAACUCCGUG